AGCUCUGUAAGCGUAUACCAAAGUUGUUGCAGUUAAAACGCUCGUAGUCGGAUUUUGGGGCAGCCCGUGCUGUGCGCGUAGUGCGUGCGGCGCUGGGAUGUUCUUUUGUGGAGGGCGGCUCGUCGUGGCUUCACUGUCGCGGCGUGUCGGCGCCACCGUUUACUGUGAAAAAAUUAGAGUGUUCAAAGCAGGCGUUUGCCGUGAAUACAUUAGCAUGGAAUAAUAGAAUAGGACUUGGUUUCUAUUUUGUUGGUUUGUGAGAGCCGAGUAAUGAUUAAGAGGGACGGUUGGGGGCAUUUGUAUUCCAGCGUCAGAGGUGAAAUUCUUGGAUUGCUGGAAGACAAACCGCUGCGAAAGCGUCUGCCAAGGACGUUUUCAUUGAUCAAGAACGAAAGUACGC
rnacentral:rRNA from 1 species